rnacentral:rRNA from 1 species
GAUGAACGCUGGCGGCGUGCCUAAUACAUGCAAGUCGAGCGAACGGACGAGAAGCUUGCUUCCCUGAUGUUAGCGGCGGACGGGUGAGUAACACGUGGAUAACCUACCUAUAGGACUGGGAUAACUUCGGGAAACCGUAGCUAAUACCGGAUAAUAUUUUGAACCGCAUGGUUCAAAAGUGAAAGACGGUCUUGCUGUCACUUAUAGAUGGAUCCGCGCUGCAUUAGCUAGUUGGUAAGGUAACGGCUUACCAAGGCAACGAUGCAUAGCCGACCUGAGAGGGUGAUCGGCCACACUGGAACUGAGACACGGUCCAGACUCCUACGGGAGGCAGCAGUAGGGAAUCUUCCGCAAUGGGCGAAAGCCUGACGGAGCAACGCCGCGUGAGUGAUGAAGGUCUUCGGAUCGUAAAACUCUGUUAUUAGGGAAGAACAUAUGUGUAAGUAACUGUGCACAUCUUGACGGUACCUAAUCAGAAAGCCACGGCUAACUACGUG